UUAAAGCGUCUGCUGUCUAGUGUCUAGUUUAGUUUCAACUACCUCCUACACGUGUGCGAUCAUAGUACACGAAGUAAUAGUUGACAGUUGGCACCCCACUCCAAUAUUGGAAAUGGUUUUUUUCGUUUGCAAUGGAUGUGGUACAUCUGUAAAAAAAAACCAAGUGGAAAAGCAUCAAUAUCAGUGUAGAAGGUCUCAACAUCUGUCAUGUGUAGAUUGUUCUAAAGAUUUUAUAGGAGAAGAAUAUAAAUCACAUAUCAAGUGUGUGUCAGAAGAAGAAAAGUAUUCAGCCAAAGGUUUUGUUCCUAAACCAAAUCAGAACAAAAAUGAAAGAAAACAAACUGAAUGGGUGGAAAUGGUGCAAAAUUUGGUUGAGACUGUUGGAAACACAAAUGAUGAACUGAGCAGUGCUCUUCAACGCAUUAGCCAAUAUGAAAAUAUCCCAAGGAAAAAGCCCAAGUUUAUUAAUUUUUUAAAAAAUGUUUUGGGAAAUAGAGUACAUCCAAGAACAAUUGAACAAUUGUGGGAUGUAAUUUCCAAAGCCCUCGAGGAACUACGUUUAAGCAAAGUGGUCCCACCGAAUACCAACAACAAAGCGAAAGCAUUGGAAGAAACGGGAAAGACCUCUACUGAAGAAAAUGGAAUCAAAAGGAAGAAUGAUAUUGAAAAUGAAAGCCCUGCCAAUGGAAACAAGAAAAGAAAGAAGGAAGCUGUGGAAUCGCAAGAAGAUGAAAUUUGUAAACAAGCGAACGAUACUAUUAAUUCCGUUGGGGAAGCCGAGCAAUCCGCUAAAGUUAAAUGGUGUACGAUUGGCAAGACUAUUCUGCGCGCCCAGGAUGACAAGGAAUUGUCGUUGAAAAAGUUUCAGAAAAAAAUCAUUGGAGAAUAUUUACACCGAAUGGGGGAUGCACUUAGUGCUGAUGAGUCUGUUGAGGUCUUGUGGUCUAAGUGCCAAAAGAAACUUUCAAAAAAUCCAAAAUUUAAGAUUCACAAAGACAAAAUAAAGCUUGUCUCAUGAUGCUGUUGCCUGUGAUGACGAGAUCGACUUACCAAUUAAACGAUCUAUUUACUUGUUAGCAAAUAUCUUUUUUUUUUUUUUUGUGGUAAAGUUUUAAUCUUUCUUAUUCUCUUAUCUUGUCUAAUACUUCGAGAUCGAUUAACCUCAUUGGUUCCCCGAAACCGUAAAGGCAAAAACAAAAAAAAAAUCUCCUGUAGAAAAAACAAGGUGGAUGCAAAAACUUAUCUUAAUCUUGUUUUUCUUUCAACCUCGUCAAAUAUUUUUUUGAAUUUCGAAAGGAUGCUGAAAUUUAAAAAAAAAAAAAAGAUAACGAAUUUUAUACUUGCGCUGCGGUUGUUGGUUACAUUAAAAAUUCUUAAAAUUGUAGCAUACAGCAAGAUAAACUUUCUGUAUUGCAAUGAUUAGGGCAGCUAGGCCGUAGACCCAUUAAUUCAACGAUCGAAAAUUGACGAAUAGAAAUUUAUAAAUGUAAGGAUUUAUCCUACUCUCUUCGUCUCAUCACAGAUAAAGACCACUUCUCUUGUCUUCUUUAUUCCUUCUUUAUCCUUCUUUAUUUUUUACACCACUUGUCUUCUUUGACUAUGGUCUCAUGCUCAUGACUGAAUCAGUCGCACCCUCUGGUCGCACCGAAUUUCUUUAUAACUAAUUAACAAUAUUGCAUUUACAUGAGUUAUACCAUAGCUCUGUCUCUGAUCACUUGCACUGUUUUUUUAAAUCAUUAUUUAAUCACUUGGAAUCACUUCAAAUAAAAAUAAAAUGAUAGGCCUAAAUCAUUUGUGGUUCGAAUAUGGCAACUUCGCAUACUAGAAAAUUCUGAUAUAAAGUUGUCUGCUGUUCUUUGGCGAAAGAAACCACGUGCAUUUAACGUCAAGUUUGGUUCUUGUUCUUGGUUUAGUCUUGCAAGUUGUACCAGAGUCCAGAGUCUUUGAAUGUACAUGUUCUAUUGAUUCAGAAUUCUACAUAGUUCAUCAUGGUUCGUCAUGGAAAACACUCACACGCAAAACCUGACCAAAGCGCCGAAGAAAGAAAAGAAGUAUGGGUUUCUAUGGUUGAAAAAUUAAUCAAAUCAGUUGGUGAUUCUGAUGAAGAUUUGACAAUCGCCCUCGAAAAAAUUUCUCGAGCGAAAAAAGUUCCUAGGAGGUGGUUAAACUUAAACAAACCAAAGUUUGUGAGCUUCUUGAAGUAUCUCCGAUAUAAAAUUACUCCAAGUGUUGUUGACCAGCUGUGGGAAUUGUUUUCCAAAUCCAUAGAUGUGGAAAGGAAAAAAGAAAUCAAGAGAAACACUAAACCAAUUAAAACAGGAAGUACAGAUGGGAAAAUUGAUGAAAAAGAAAUUACAAUUGAAGAAAAAAUGGAAAAUUGACACAACACAAAAUUUCGUAAGAAAUGAUGAAUAAUGUCUGAACUCUGAAGUGGAAUUUUUUUAUGAUUUGGUAUGACAAUAUCAUGCUUGUCUCACGUCUCACGAUGCUCUCGUCUGUACUGAUGAGAUCGGAUUAUCUAGUAAACGACCGAUUUACUUGUA